GUUCUUCGGAACUAGAGACCGGCGCACGGGUGCGUAACGCGUAUGCAAUCUACCUUUUACAGAGGGAUAGCCCAGAGAAAUUUGGAUUAAUACCUCAUAGUAUAUAGCCCUGGCAUCAGGAUUAUAUUAAAGUCACAACGGUAAAAGAUGAGCAUGCGUCCCAUUAGCUAGUUGGUAAGGUAACGGCUUGCCAAGGCUACGAUGGGUAGGGGUCCCGAGAGGGAGAUCCCCCACACUGGUACUGAGACACGGACCAGACUCCUACGGGAGGCAGCAGUGAGGAAUAUUGGACAAUGGGCGCAAGCCUGAUCCAGCCAUGCCGCGUGCAGGAUGACGGUCCUAUGGAUUGUAAACUGCUUUAUACGAGAAGAAACACUCCUUCGUGAAGGAGCUUGACGGUAUCGUAAGAAUAAGGAUCGGCUAACUCCGUGCCAGCAGCCGCGGUAAUACGGAGGAUCCAAGCGUUAUCCGGAAUCAUUGGGUUUAAAGGGUCCGUAGGCGGUUUAAUAAGUCAGUGGUGAAAGCCCAUCGCUCAACGGUGGAACGGCCAUUGAUACUGUUAGACUUGAAUUAUUAGGAAGUAACUAGAAUAUGUAGUGUAGCGGUGAAAUGCUUAGAGAUUACAUGGAAUACCAAUUGCGAAGGCAGGUUACUACUAAUUGAUUGACGCUGAUGGACGAAAGCGUGGGUAGCGAACAGGAUUAGAUACCCUGGUAGUCCACCCCGUAAACGAUGGAUACUAGCUGUUGGAAGCAAUUUCA
rnacentral:rRNA from 1 species